CGCCGCCUCCCUUCCCCGGCUCGUCCGCGACCCCCUUUCCCCGCCGCCCCCCGCCGCAUCCCCCUGGCCAGCGGGGCGGGGCCUGCUGUACGACUCUGUAAAGUCUCCCAGACGUCCCCUCCCUCGCUGCCACCCCGACCCGUCUCGGAGCUGGACCCGGCGGCGACUUCUUCGCGGAAGGAGAGCUGAUGGCAAGCAAGUCACAUGUUUGCUGGCCUUCCAUUGAGCUGCGAACCUGGAGAGCCUUUCUGAAACUCCUGAUAAGUUGGGCAGACUCCAAGUCAAGCCGAAUUGAUGGGGAAUGCAGAAUUGAUCAGAAUAAUCACAAGUUCCAUUAUAUAAAAGAGAUCACUUUGCCAGAAAAAAUAAAAUAAACC